UUAUGCAUAAACAAUUAACCUAAUUAAUUUAACCAUGGUAUAAAAGGUAACGCAAUUCGAAACCCCACCUAUUAUCCUGAUUGUCGCGUUUAACAAUCAGCAAAAAUGUCCUACCUAACACUGGUUGUGUUUGCUGUGCUUGCCUGUUCAGUAUACUCUCAACGUAUGGACCAAAGAAUGGAUGUUUGUGAAAUCAUCCGUGUCGAUAAAGGAGAUCGAUUCGGGACAAGGGGAACUUGUUGCGUAACAUGGGAUGACCAAAUCGCCGGGGAAGAAAAGGACUAUUUACGGGAUUACUGGGUGGAUUGGGCUUUGGUGCUGGAGUAAGCGGAUACCUAAAUGACAGCAAAGGUCGCAACAUUAAAGGUGGAAUUGGAGGAACAGUUGGUUUUGGAUUGGGCGGUGGUGGAGAUGAUGACCCUCCACCACCAUCGGUAGUACCUGUACCAGUAGCAGUACCAGGACCAGCAGCUCCAGCAUACCCACCUCCGGCAUAUUCUCCGGGGUAUCCUGCUGCGUAUCCUCCACCUGGAUAUUAUUAAUACACAGAAAAUAAAAUAUUGGUCGACUUCCA